CACGUAGGGGGCGAGCGUUGUCCGGAUUUAUUGGGCGUAAAGAGCUCGUAGGCGGCUCGGUAAGUCGGGUGUGAAACCUCCAGGCUCAACCUGGAGACGCCACUCGAUACUGCCGUGGCUAGAGUCCGGUAGAGGAGCGUAGAAUUCCUGGUGUAGCGGUGAAAUGCGCAGAUAUCAGGAGGAAUACCGGUGGCGAAGGCGGGUCUCUGGGCCGAUACUGACGCUGAGGAGCGAAAGCGUGGGGAGCGAACAGG
rnacentral:rRNA from 1 species